GAUGAACGCUGACAGAAUGCUUAACACAUGCAAGUCAACUUGAACUUCGGUUUGGGUGGCGGACGGGUGAGUAACGCGUAAAGAACUUGCCUCACAGAUAGGGACAACAUUUGGAAACGAAUGCUAAUACCUGAUAUUAUGAUUAUAUGGCAUCGUAUAAUUAUGAAAGCUAUAUGCGCUGUGAGAGAGCUUUGCGUCCCAUUAGCUAGUUGGAGAGGUAACGGCUCACCAAGGCGAUGAUGGGUAGCCGGCCUGAGAGGGUGACCGGCCACAAGGGGACUGAGACACGGCCCUUACUCCUACGGGAGGCAGCAGUGGGGAAUAUUGGACAAUGGACCAAGAGUCUGAUCCAGCAAUUCUGUGUGCACGAUGAAGUUUUUCGGAAUGUAAAGUGCUUUCAGUUGGGAAGAAAAAAAUGACGGUACCAACAGAAGAAGUGACGGCGAAAUACGU
rnacentral:rRNA from 1 species